GGAAGGAAGAUUCUGACGGUACCUGAUGAAUAAGGCCACGGCUAAUUCCGUGCCAGCAGCCGCGUAAUACGGGAGUGGCAAGCGUAUCCGGAAAUUAUUGGGCGUAAAGCGUCCGCAGCGGCCUGACAAGUCCGCUGUUAAAGCGUGGAGCUUAACUCCAUUUCAGCAGUGGAAACUGUCAGGCUUGAGUGUGGUAGGGGCAGAGGGAAUUCCCGGUGUAGCGGUGAAAUGCGUAGAUAUCGGGAAGAACACCAGUGGCGAAAGCGCUCUGCUGGGCCAUCACUGACGCUCAUGGACGAAAGCCAGGGGAGCGAAAGGGAUUAGAUACCCCUGUAGUCCUGGCCGUAAACGAUGAACACUAGGUGUCGGGGGAAUCGACCCCUCCGGUGUCGUAGCCAACGCGUUAAGUGUUCCGCCUGGGGAGUACGCACGCAAGUGUGAAACUCAAAGGAAUUGACGGGGGCCCGCACGAGCGGUGGAGUAUGUGGUUUAAUUCGAUGCAACGCGAAGAACCUUACCAGGGCUUGACAUCCUGCGAAUCUCUGGGAAACCGGAGAGUGCCUUCGGGAACGCAGUGACAGGUGGUGCAUGGCUGUCGUCAGCUCGUGUCGUGAGAUGUUGGGUUAAGUCCCGCAACGAGCGCAACCCACGUCUUUAGUUGCCAGCAUUUAGUUGGGCACUCUAGAGAGACCGCCGGUGACAAACCGGAGGAAGGUGUGGAUGACGUCAAGUCAUCAUGCCCCUUACGUCCUGGGCUACACACGUACUACAAUGCUACGGACAAAGAGCAGCUAACUCGCGAGAGUACGCAAAUCUCAUAAACCGUGGCUCAGUUCAGAUCGUAGGCUGCAACUCGCCUACGUGAAGGAGGAAUCGCUAGUAAUCGCAGGUCAGCAUACUGCGGUGAAUACGUUCCCGGGCCUUGUACACACCGCCCGUCACACCAUGGAAGUUGGCCACGCCCGAAGUCGUUACUCCAACCCUCU
rnacentral:rRNA from 1 species